CCCUGUAAACGGCGGCCGUAACUAUAACGGUCCUAAGGUAGCGAAAUUCCUUGUCGGGUAAGUUCCGACCUGCACGAAUGGCGUAACGAUCUGGGCACUGUCUCGGCGAGAGACUCAGCGAAUUUGUAGCACCUGUGAAGAUGCAGGUUACCCGCGGCUAGACAGAAAGACCCUGUGAACCUUUACUGCACCCUGGCAAUGGAAUUCGGUGCGGCAUGUGCAGAAUAGGUGGGAGGCUUUGAAGCCGGACCGUCAGGUUCGGUGGAGCCAACUGUGAGAUACCACCCUUGUCGUACUGGGUUUCUAACCUCGAGCCCUGAAUCGGGCUCAGGGACAUUGUCAGGCGGGUAGUUUGACUGGGGCGGUCGCCUCCCAAACUGUAACGGAGGCGUGCAACGGUUCCCUCAGGCUGAUUGGAAACCAGCCGUAGAGUGCAAAGGCAUAAGGGAGCCUGACUGCGAGACCUACAAGUCGAGCAGGAGCGAAAGCUGGUCUUAGUGAUCCGGCGGUUCCGUAUGGAAGGGCCGUCGCUCAACGGAUAAAAGGUACUCCGGGGAUAACAGGCUGAUCCCUCCCAAGAGUCCACAUCGACGGAGGGGUUUGGCACCUCGAUGUCGGCUCAUCGCAUCCUGGGGCUGAAGCAGGUCCCAAGGGUUCGGCUGUUCGCCGAUUAAAGCGGUACGUGAGCUGGGUUCAGAACGUCGCGAGACAGUUCGGUCCUUAUCUGCCGUGGGCGCAGGAAACUUGAGGGGAUGGUUCCCUAGUACGAGAGGACCGGGAACCACGGACCUCUGGUGUACCGGUUGUCCCGCCAGGGGCAGCGCCGGGUAGCUAUGUCCGGAAAGGAUAAGCGCUGAAAGCAUCUAAGCGCGAAGCCCAUCCCAAGAUGAGGUUUCCCUGGACCGUAAGGUCCCUGAAGACCCCUCGGAGACGACGAGGUUGAUAGGCCGGAGGUGUAAGCGCGGUAACGCGUUCAGCUGACCGGUACUAAUAGGUCGUGAGGCUUGACCAU
rnacentral:rRNA from 1 species